rnacentral:rRNA from 1 species
UACGUAGGCAGCAAGCGUUGUUCGGAAUUACUGGGCGUAAAGGGUGCGUAGGCGGUGCCGUAAGUUUGGUGUGAAAUCUCCCGGCUUAACUGGGAGGGUGCGCCGAAGACUGCGAUGCUGGAGUAUGGGAGAGGAAAGCGGAAUUCCUGGUGUAGCGGUGAAAUGCGUAGAUAUCAGGAGGAACACCUGCGGUGUAGGCGGCUUUCUGGACCAUUACUGACGCUGAGGCACGAAAGCGUGGGUAGCAAACAGG